rnacentral:rRNA from 1 species
GGGCCCGCACAAGCAGUGGAGUAUGUGGUUUAAUUCGAAGCAACGCGAAGAACCUUACCAGGAUUUGACAUCCUACUAACGAAGCAGAGAUGCAUAAGGUGCCCUUCGGGGAAAGUAGAGACAGGUGGUGCAUGGUUGUCGUCAGCUCGUGUCGUGAGAUGUUGGGUUAAGUCCCGCAACGAGCGCAACCCUUAUUGCUAGUUGCUACGCAAGAGCACUCUAGCGAGACUGCCGUUGACAAAACGGAGGAAGGCGGGGACGACGUCAAAUCAUCAUGCCCCUUAUGUCCUGGGCUACACACGUACUACAAUGGCGGCUAACAGAGGGAAGCAAGACAGUGAUGUGGAGCAAAUCCCUAAAAACCGUCUCAGUUCGGAUCGCAGGCUGCAACCCGCCUGCGUGAAGUCGGAAUUGCUAGUAAUCGCGGAUCAGCAUGCCGCGGUGAAUACGUUCCCGGGCCUU